GUACUCGCUUCGGCAGCACAUAUACUAAAAUUGGAACGAUACAGAGAUUAGCGUGGCCCCUGCGCAAGGAUGACACACAAAUUCGUGAAGCGUUCCAUAUUUAA
rnacentral:snRNA from 1 species